UUUUUAUUUUUUGUUCAAUCUGUCCACUAGUUUCUUGAACACAGAGAAUACCAUUAUAGUAACUGUUUUAUACCUUUUUUUAAGUUAAUUCUGUCAUCUAAUCUUUUUUGGGUCCAUUUCAGUUGAAUGAUAUUUCUCAUUAUGGGACUUAAGUAGCAUUUGCUCUAGGUCCAGUUUUUUUCCAGUACUGAAGCAAAAUCCUUCUUAGUACUAUACUUGAGAACUCAUUCAUGAAUUAUGAGGUUUCCUACACUGGGUAUUCUCAGCCCUGUUUGAGUUCCAAAUACUGUUCCCUCUAAUUCUUUUGGAUGCUUCUUUCCCCAACCUUGUUAACUCCUUUACACAAAUGCAAAGGUCAGUAACCAAGCGAAUAUUCAACUGGGGACCCUCGGCAGUUUUCCCAGAGCUCUGUCUCUCUGCAGCUCUCUCCUCUCCAGUACGCUGUCCUGAAACUCUGUCUCCCCAGACCCUUGGAUGAUUCUCCUCAACUGUCUGAGAGCUGUGGGUUCUGCCUGCAUCCUCCUCCCUGGGCUCUUUCUCCAGGCAGAAAACUGAAGCACCGGAAGGACUCAUCUUGCUUGGUGUUGUUUUGUUUUGUUUCUGGUUUUGCUGCGCAAAUCCAAGUCAGUGCCUUCUCCACUGCUAAGGGUUGUUAGAGUCCUCCUCUUCCUGGCACGGAGAGGGAGAUGGCUCUACAAAUAGAUAUUUCCUUUCUAAGUGUAAAUUCCCUUGCAAAGAAAAAAAAAAGACUUCUGUUUCCCGUUUUUUUUAGUUUUUGCUGCAUCUCCUGGUUUACAAUGUCCUUUUGCUCAAAAUAAUCCAUAUUCCAAAGUGGCAUAUUUGGGGUAGUAUAUUCUGAUACCCCUUAACACCAUCACCAUGUAAGUUCCAUAUGCUAAGAGUGUAAGAGUGUGUUUCCUGAUCUAUAAUUUAAAUUUUACACCAGGGAAGCAGCAUGUGUUGGUCACUGAUUUAACAAUAAACUGACCAACUCAUAUUACUGUCAAACUUAACCUGAGGCAGUCAUGUAGAAACUACUCUCUCUACUUAAACAUUCCCAAAUCACAUUUAUAGAGAAGAAAUUUUACAGUAAUUGUAGCAUUUUUACAGUGUUCUAGCAAUUUCAUAGUCAUUUUAAGUAAGUUUACACAUUGAUUUGAAACAAUAUCCAUCUAUACGAUGUGGACGAGUGAGUCCGAAUACACUCCAAACAGAGACGGAGUGUUUAUCGCAUGCCAACUUGGAGACAGGCAUUCACCCAUUUUAGUUAGUCCUCCCAGCAACUCCAUGUAUGGUAAUGCUACCCCAGUGAGAAAACCAUGAUAAAGAUUCUUUCCACCUGCCCUGUACUAUGCACCUUAAAUGGAGAAAUCAAGGCUCAGAUGUAGCUCUGUGUGUCUCCAAGUCCGUGUCCAUUACUAACCUGCUACUUACUAGGCAGUUUGUCUCAGUACUGGAGUGGUUCUCAAAACGUGACUCCCUCACUCCAGAUCGGCAGCAUCAGCAGCACCUGGGAACUAGCUAGAUAUGCAAAAAGUUGGCUCCUUCCCAGAUCUGCUACAUUAGAGAUUCUGAAGGUGGAGCCCAGCAAGUGAUUCUGGGGCCCACGCAAGUGUGACAGACAACUGCACUAUAAGACCCACGGGAGAGAGUGGAAACUUCAGGAGACAGAAGAGCGUGGGAUGAGAGGGGAGGGUGGGUAUAAACUGGCCCAUUUCUGGUAAGAACCCAGUAUCACAGCAUCCUCCGUUAGGCAAUCAUGUCUGCACUGCAGCUAUAGGAACACACAUGAAAAAGGAUAUGCCAAGAAUCUCUUGACCAAGUUGGUGAUAAAGCAAAUCCGCGAUACUGAAAUGAACGUCUUCCAACAGGAUGCCACUACAUAGUCAAGGGAAUUCCAAAAUGCCAAACGAAAUAGCCCUACCCCGAGUCUUUAGGUCAGCCUCUCCCCAAGUUUGUGUCUGACACUUGGAGCACACCUAUGCACAAAAGAAGUGAGAUCCAAUCAAUUAGAGAACCUGUCCACCACAGCUCUUUCACAAGACAAUUUAACAUAGUAAAGAGUGAAGGAUAUUUACACACUGGCCCAAAGACCCCUUUUCUUCACGUAAAUGCCUGGUAACAUCCUACUGAACCCGUGCUCUUGGGUAAAACAGCUAAGACACCAGAAGUGGAGACACAGUUGCUAUUUAGGGAACCGGCCACUGCUUUCCCCUCCUCCACAUCAGCUGAAGCUGUGGCUUUGUCGGUUCUGGAUGGUCAACAAUUGGGAAAGCCCAAAAUGUUCAUAAAAUUCCCCUUAAAUUGAGUCAAUUAAGUUUAAAGAUUCCUCGUGAAGUUGCUCUGGAAUAAAAAAAGUCAGUAGCACAGCAAGAAUUGGACUUUCUAUAUCAGAGGAGACCCUGCCCUGAGCAAGGUGUGUCCGGCAGCAAAACCCCCUCCUGUGAGGGAUGUGGCAUCUGACAGCAACCAUGGCAAGACAUGUCUCAUCUCCUUCUGCCCUGCAUGUUCAUCUUUCUCCUAAGAAGGUCUCAUUUCCUGAUUAAAGCAAUAGCUGGGUUAGUUAACAAAAACAUGUGAAGUCUGUAAUUUUUUAAUGUGAGCCCAGUGAAUGAAACACAAAGGGAAAAAGUUAAAAAAACAAAAUGGCCAGCUCUCUAAGCAAUGGUACACUCUUUUCAAGACUUCUAGCUUCAGGAGUUCAGAGCCACGCAGGACUGGGCAGGUGGAAGAGCAGCCAGAAAAAGCGGCCUGGGCUCAGAGUUGGCAGAGGGACGAAGGGAAGUGUGGGUUUCCAGCCUGGUUAGAUCUUGUCCUCUUGUCACCCACACUAGAGGGCUCACGGCGCUGCCAGGUGUAGCCUCGCCCUAGACCUAGCCUCCCUGGAGGAAGCAAUCUCAGGGAGACGGGAGGGAAUGUCUCAAGAGCUGAGAGCAGCAAGAUACAGCCUUAAACAAAGACCUACUCAAAACACCGAACUAAAAGAAGCUUCAGGAGUUCCCACCGCGGCUCAGCGGGAGACCAAUCUGGCUAGGAUCCAUGAGGAUGCAGGUUCCAUCCCUGGCCUUGCUCAGUGGGUGAAGGAUAUGGCAUUGCCAUGAGCUAUAUGGUAUAGGUUGCAGACUCAGCUCAGAUCCUGCGUGGCUGUGGCUGUGGUAUAAUCCGGCAGCUGUAGCCCCAAUUCGACUCCUAGCCUGGGAACUUCCAUAUGCCGUGGGUGCAGCCCUAAAAAAAAAAAAAAAAAAAAAA
rnacentral:lncRNA from 9 species